AACGAACGCUGGCGGCGUGCCUAACACAUGCAAGUCGAACGAGAAAGGGGCUUCGGCUCCGAGUAAAGUGGCGCACGGGUGAGUAACACGUGGGUAACCUGCCUCUAAGAUUGGGAUAACUCGUCGAAAGAUGAGCUAAUACCGAAUAAGACCACAGUUCCCGCGGGAACAGGGGUCAAAGGUAGCCUCUGCUUGCAAGCUAUCACUUAGAGAUGGGCCUGCGCACCAUUAGCUAGUUGGUAGGGUAACGGCCUACCAAGGCAAAGAUGGUUAGCUGGUCUGAGAGGAUGAUCAGCCACACUGGAACUGAGACACGGUCCAGACUCCUACGGGAGGCAGCAGGGGGGAAUAUUGCGCAAUGGGCGAAAGCUUGACGCAGCAACGCCGCGUGAGGGAUGAAGGCCUUCGGGUCGUAAAGCUCUGUCGGGAGGAACGAAUGCUCCUGAGGUUAACAGCCUCGGGAGGUGACGGUACCUUCAAAGGAAGCACCGGCUAACUCUGUG
rnacentral:rRNA from 1 species